UCCUCCUGGCUCGGCCGCUCCGGCUGUUGGGUGCGAAUAUUCCGUCAAUAACUUAUUUGUGCUGAUAAUUGGGGAUAUUACGAAUUCCACGGACACGACUGUUUUUGUUCAACUUUGACAAAGUCCACAUUCUACACCACUAUAAAUAAAGCCAACCUUCGAUGUGAGACUGGGAUGUGUUAAAUAUUGUGCUCAAAUCGCUGAGAUGGGGAUCUACCUCGGCGACGCCGUUGAUCGUGGAAUCAAGAACAUGGGCGCGAAUCGAGGUCCGAUAAUGGAAUUACAAGAGACGAGGGAGAUGUGGGUGAGCUUGGGCAUGCUGCGCUAGUCUCGUUAACUCCCUCGUAUGCAAACAGCGGCGCGGGGAGGCUGGGGUGGUGUGGCGGGGACAACGACGGGCCGAAUACGACCGACAAAAACAAGCUGUUUUCUCUAAGCAUUCGAAGGACUUUCUUAAGUCCGAUUCUGAUAAAAUUUUGAAUAGUUUGAAGCAAUUAUCGGAAAUCGCUAGGUGCGGUAAGCUUUCGGAGUUUGUUGUUACAGUCACACAAGCUGUAACUUUUGGGGUAUUGCUGGGUUAUCAAUCGAAAACAGCGAGUGAUGGGGAUGGUGGAGUUUCUACUGCUUCAAGCUUUACAUACCAGGUUAUGGAUAAGCUUUUUUACCAGGCCCUGGUCGGGUUUUGCUUCUGUUCUUGUUGAAAACUUUGCUAGGAUUUGGUAUUAGCUUUCAAUUCAGAUGGAAGGUGUGGCAGAGGGUCUAAUUCUAACAAUUCUCUCGAGUAUGGACGAUUAUGUGUCAGAAAUGACUAAUUUUCCGAGAUGGGUUAAUGUAAUUUCAGGCGAUAAGUUUAGAAGCAGGUGUACGCGAAGCCGGGGGGUGGCAAGGACAUCGGCGGGACCAAUGCGACCAACAGAAGCAAGCUGGUAUUUUUUUUACAGAGGAAGCAGUUUGAGUUGGAGGAUUUGUUGUGGGCGUCGGCCGAGAUGUUGGGGAAAAGGAGCCUGGAAUAUGAAGUCUUCUUUUCGUUUUUCUUUAUUUUUUUAAUAUUUAAUUAUUUGCCACAUCAUCACUUAACUGUCAAAUUGACGAUUUGACUAACAGAUGUAUGAAAUUGCAAUGGAAUGAUAAAUAAUGUAUGAAAUUGAAUAUCUUUUAUUGGAUGUGAU